GGGAUUAGUACAGUGGUAGUACGUUGGCUUCCCAAGCCAGAAACGCGGGUUCGAUUCCCGUAUCC
rnacentral:tRNA from 1 species